rnacentral:hammerhead_ribozyme from 1 species
AUCCAGCUGACAGUCCUAAAUGGGACGAAAUGUGCUUCCUGGAU